GUGUAGUGUAGCGGUGAAAUGCAUAGAUAUUACACAGCAACACCAAUUGCGGAGGCAUAUCACUAACAAUAUACUGACGCUGAUGAACGAAAGCGUAGGUAGCCAACAGGAUUAGAUACCCUGGUAGUCUACGCUGUAAACUAUGGUUACUAGCUGUUCGGAGCACAUUAGUGCACUGAGUGGUUAAGCGAAAGUGAUAAGUAACCCACCUGGGGAGUACGUUUGCAAGAAUGAAACUCAAAGGAAUUGACGGGGGCCCGCACAAGCGGUGGAGCAUGUGGUUUAAUUCGAUGAUACGCGAGGAACCUUACCAAGGCUUAAAUGCAUAUUGACAGUUCACGAAAGUGGAAUUUUCUUCGGACAAUUUGCAAGGUGCUGCAUGGUUGUCGUCAGCUCGUGCCGUGAGGUGUCAGGUUAAGUCCUAUAACGAGCGCAACCCCUGUGGUUAGUUACCAGCAUGUAAAGAUGGGGACUCUAGCCAGACUGCCGGUGCAAACCGUGAGGAAGGUGGGGAUGACGUCAAAUCAUCACGGCCCUUACGCCUUGGGCUACACACGUGCUACAAUGGUAUAUACAAUGAGCAGCCAUCUGGUGACAGAGCGCUAAUCUAAAAAGUAUAUCACAGUUCGAAUCGGAGUCUGCAACUCGACUCUGUGAAGC
rnacentral:rRNA from 1 species